GACAGCUCAGUUGGUUAGAACAUGGUGCCAGUAACACCAAGGUCGCAGGUUCGAUUCCCAUGUGGGACA